GAUUACGUAGGUUGGUCAUGCCUCUGGUAUGUACUGGUCUCACUGAUUCCUCCUUCCUUAUGAACCGUAAUGCCAUUAAUUUGGUGUUGCGGGGAAUUUGGACUGUUACUUUGAAAAAAUUAGAGUGUUUAAAGCAAGCUAACGCUUGAAUACAUUAGCAUGGAAUAAUGAAAUAGGACGUUCGAUCUUAUUUUGUUGGUUUCUAGGAUUGACGUAAUGAUUAAUAGGGAUAGUUGGGGG
rnacentral:rRNA from 1 species